UGGGGGAUAUUGCACAAUGGGCGAAAGCCUGAUGCAGCGACGCCGCGUGGGGGAUGAAGGCUUUCGGGUUGUAAACCUCUUUCGCUAUCGAACAAGGCCCGCUUAGGGUGGGUUGAGGGUAGGUGGAGAAGAAGCGCCGGCUAACUACGUGCCAGCAGCCGCGGUAAUACGUAGGGCGCGAGCGUUGUCCGGAAUUAUUGGGCGUAAAGGGCUUGUAGGCGGCUUGUUGCGCCUGCUGUGAAAACGCGGGGCUUAACUUCGCGCGUGCAGUGGGUACGGGCAGGCUUGAGUGGGGUAGGGGUGACUGGAAUUCCAGGUGUAGCGGUGGAAUGCGCAGAGAUCUGGGGGAACACCGAUGGCGAAGGCAGGUCACUGGGCCAUUACUGACGCUGAGGAGCGAAAGCAUGGGUAGCGAACAGG
rnacentral:rRNA from 1 species